AGAAGUGAGCUAUAAAAGCUGCACAUUUCCCAGAAAGGGCAUCUUCAAUAAUAUCCAUCUCAGAUGUGGCCAUGGAAGAUAAUGGACAAGUAAAAACUCCCAUCUUUUCAAAACAGUGAUCUCUGCUCCAUUUAGGAGAAAAAUGGACAGCAUCAAACUAAUCUCCACUAAGGAAUUCAGAAUUAGGACUGAAGUGGUCUGGGCUGGUAUCUUGAAUGAAGAAGCUAUGAACUUGAGAGGUAUGGGAUGACCAUGUGCCCGAAAGACAAAGAAAGCUUAUUUGCAUAAAUGAAGAAAUAAAUUACAGAGAAAAGCAACAGAGAAGAGAGUAUACUGCCUAGUUUCCUAAGAACCUAAGUUCUAUUUCCUCAAGAGAUCCAGCUAUCCCUGGGUUCUGUGAAACACCCCUGUAUUCUCCAUAAAUAAAUUCCUUUUCUUUUUUGAUGUAUCCAGUGCUGGUUUCUUUUACUUGCAGCCAAGCAAAACUUGACUAAAAUAAGCUUACUAAAUCAUAAAUCAAAUCAUAUUUCUUUUUUAUUUUUCAGUAUUUUUUUAUACCAUAUACACUGUUGACAGGCACAGAUUUUACAUUUAACUCUUUUACUUUGCCAGUAUACCCACUGAUACUUUUUAUUCCCUAUUAUCUCUUAUAUUAUUUCCCCCAUAUGUAUAUGAAUUCAUGACAACUCAAAUUCCUCUACCAUCUCCCCAUAAAAAAAGCUGAUGCUUUUCAUAAAAACAUUUUUUCAAUUUUAGACAAUGGAUUUCAAAAUUAAAUCACCAGUUUUCUGUCACUUUUUUCCAGUUUCCUGCAUUCAUAUUUCCCUUUUACAACUAUUUUUUAUAAUAUCCUCAAUUAAGUGGAUUUUUUUUUACAGCCUUCAUUUUAAGAAAAAGCCUCAAAUGAUGAUAAAUAA